CCUACGGGAGGCAGCAGUGAGGAAUAUUGGGCAAUGGACGGAAGUCUAAGCCAGCAAUGCCGCGUGCAGGAAGACGGCUCUAUGAGUUGUAAACUGCUUUUGUACAAGGGUAAACCUGAAUACGUGUAUUCAGCUGAAAGUACUGUACGAAUAAGGAUCGACUAACUCCGUGCCAUCAGCCGCGGUAAUACGGAGGAUCCAAGCGUUAUCCGGAUUGAGUGGGUGUAAGGGGUGCGUAGGCGGAUUGGUAAGUUAGAGGUGAAAUGUCCGGGCUCAACUCGGGAACUGCCUCUGAUACUGUUGAUCUAGAGAGUAGGUGCGGUAGGCGGAAUGUAUGGUGUAGCGGUGAAAUGCUUAGAGAUCAUACAGAACACCGAUUGCGAAGGCAGCUUACCAAUCUAUAUCUGACGUUGAGGCACGAAAGCGUGGGGAGCAAACAGGAUUAGAUACCCUAGUAGUC
rnacentral:rRNA from 1 species